rnacentral:lncRNA from 1 species
AGAGAAGAAGACAUUCAGGGAGACACCAAGCCAGGGAGGUGACAAGUAUGUGGUAAAAUCCGAGCACGCAGAAUUUGGGGGAACAGGACUCUAGACUGCCUCUAGAGAGAGCUGUAUUGAAGGCCCUGCGACCCAGCACAGAGAAGGGAAUGGUGCUCUAGGUCCCUGCCUCUGCAGAAGACAAAUCCAGGAAGAGAACCAGGAAACUGCAGAGUAGCCAGCCACAUGCGAGAAAAAUCUGAAGGAGACGAAAAUGUUUCAGGAGAAAGGGCUUUUCAACUGGUGCAUAAUUUAGGUUAAAGUUUCUGAGCAGCUCUGGACUGCAAAAGGGCCUCCCUUCACUGAGCAGAUGUAUAUGACCCCGUGCUUCUCCGAUUCAUACCAAACUUCAGAGAAACUCCGGGAAAGGUUCCUUCUGUAUUUAUGGAUGAGAAUUAUGUGAAGCCUCUACAACCAUCGUAGUUCAUAUCUCCAGAGAGAGGUAUAAUUUGCAGUGAAGUGCACAAAUCAGUGAAAUUUUACGUAUGCAACCUUUAUCACUCACCACCCAAACCAGAGUGGUGUCUUCCCAACACCCCAGGGCCUCUAGUCCUUUUCCAGCGUUGCCUGAAGACACAAACUACUGAUGGCUGCAUCCACAUGACUGACUUCAAACACAGCACGCUGCAGGAGAAAAGCCGGAUACGCGCGUGGAAAGUGGGUGGCUCCACCACCCUGCUGUUCAGGUUUUCUUUCUGAAAGUUCUUUUGGCUUUAUUAUGGAAUAGAGGUUACAGAAAGGCAAAAGCUUUGGCCGUAGCGGGUGGGAAGAUCUUCCUUACCCUGGAGGAGGAAGUAGGGUCUCCGUAAUGUAUGUGUGGUACUCAGGGCUCCCGGCAGCCCGAAGCCAGAGUGUGUCCUCACCCUGCCCCGGGUCAGCCCUGUGACCUGGAGGGAGCAACUGAAAAGCUCUGGGCCUCGGAUUCCUCAUCUGUGAAAUGGGGAUGCUAACAGUGCUACCUCCUCUGGUUGGUUUGUGGCAGAGGACACAUGAGGCAACCUGUGUAAAAUGCUUGGAGGGUGGCCAGUGUGGUUACCAUGGAGAUUGACUGGUACCGUCUUCCACAUCCUGUGUUGACUAAGCGCGCACACCAGAAUACAGUUCCAAACGAUUAUCAAACAUGAAUACAAUUCAGAAAAUAAACAUGCAGCAAAACUUGCCAUAAAGAUUGCAUGAAACUAUCACUUUAAGAAAAAUACAUUAAAAAUUACCUUAAAUACCGAAAAGUACUUUUGUAAGUAAGGAUCAGUCCAAUAAAUUUAACCUGUAUUUGAAUCAGUGUAAAACAACUUGGUUUAUAAUUUUGUCUUCAUCGAGUGGGGGUGACUUUUGUAGCUUCUGUCACUGCUGCCUGGAGUAUAGAAUUAAACACCUUUUUGCAGAAAAAGCCUCCAGCUGUUUUUUUUUUUUUUUUUUUUUUUUUUACUCUCAGAUAAUAUGGGGUGAUUUUUAAAAGACCUGAG